rnacentral:rRNA from 1 species
ACAUGCAAGUCGAGGGUAGCAAUACACUGGCGCAAGGGUGCGUAACGCGUAGAUUAUCUGGCCCCAUACACUAACAUAACGCUUGGAAACGGGUGCUAAUAUUAGAUGAGGUGCUUCGGCAUCAAAGUUUCGACGGUAUGGGAUGAGUCUGCGUCUGAUUAGCUAGUUGGUAGUGUAAUGGACUACCAAGGCGACGAUCAGUAGCUGGUCUGAGAGGACGGAUCAGCCACACUGGAACUGAGACACGGUCCAGACUCCUACGGGAGGCAGCAGUGAGGAAUUUUGCGCAAUGGACGAAAGUCUGACGCAGCGACGCCGCGUGUGGGAUGAAGGGGCUACGCCCUGUAAACCACUGUUAGAUGUGAAAAAAAGAUGGCUUUGCCGUCCGGGAUUGUAACAUCAAAGAAAGGACCGGCUAACUACGUG